UCCUGAACAAUUUUAAGUACAAGUGUUGUCAGCUGGAGAAGCUCUCUUUCUCUCCAAGGCUUCACUGGCAGCUGUUGUCACUGUGGUGCAUCUGUAAGGCUCGGAAAUGUGGAUAACAAACUAACUGCACCCAGAAACCUGAACCUAAAGGAUAUGCAGUCAGAGGUGAAAAGAGUGACUGGCGGAUUGUUGAGGAGAGCAGAAAUGAUUGGAAGAUAUCUCACUCUUGCACAUGGCAGCUCAAUGGUUAAUACUACUGCCUGACAGCGUCAGGGACUCGAUUCCACCCUCAGGCAACUGUCAGUGUGCAGUUUGUGCAUUCUCCCUGUGUCUGCGUGGGUUUCCUCCCACAAUCCAAAGGUGUACAAGGCGGUUUCCAGAUUGUCUCGUUUGCUGGAUGGUUGUGGUAUCAGAAUGUCAAGAUUAUCACUUUAACUUCCGACAUCAGAGAGAGCAAUGUUUUGAGAGAUGCAAUACAUACAUUUGGAUUUUGUGAUGAUCUCUUCAGAAUGCAAAACAUUGCCUGGAUUCCUGUCUGAUCAAUUGACUUCCUUAUUGUGAGACACAGGUUAUAAUCAGAAAGUCCAAUUAAUGGAUCACGAUUGAAGUGAAAUCAUUUUAAUAAAAUAAGCAAUGAAUGUGCAAUAAAAAGUUUUCAAACCCUGAAGUAUGUUGCUCUUUGUUGAAUUUUGCGGAUGUACACACAAGAUUAUCCAUUCAUUCUGAAAAUGUUUCACUUCGG